rnacentral:tRNA from 1 species
GCGCGAGUGGCGGAAUGGCAGACGCGCUGGUCUUAGGAAUCAGUGCCCUGAUAAGGCGUGCGGGUUCGAAUCCCGCCUCGCGCA